AACUAAACACAAUCCGGAAUAAGAAAUGAAAAGUAAAAAGAGAAGAAAGUUAAAUACAUCAACAGUCCAACACCAAUCGAAUCAAUGCCAACAUUAUACAUGUUCUUAUAUACUAAUUUAAUGUAUUAUUAAAUAAGUCUUAAAAAUUUUAUUUUCCUAAGAUUUUUUAAAAAGGAGAACAUUCUAUUUUAUAAAUCACCUUUUUAUUUACAAUUAAAAAAUAAUAUUAAAUACUCUUUUACAAUUUUGUUUAAGAUUUUAGAAAAGGUAAAUUACUGUCAUAUAAUCUAGUACAAUUAUCAUAUAAUCUAGUACAAUUAUCUUCUCUUUAGAAUUUUAGAAAAAAUAUAUUGCUAUCAAAUAAUUAUUUUUAGUUAUUAAUAAAUAUUAAAUUGCUAUUUUUACAAUUCGUAUCAAUACUAGUUUUACAUUUUUUUUUUGUUAAUUAAAUAAUUUUUAUUAUCAUGUUCAUCAUCAAACACUCUUUUAAAAAUAUUAUCAAAUAAAAUUUUACAAUUCUCUUUUGGUUAGGACUUAAAAAUAUUAUAAAAAUUUUUUUUAUUUAGGAUUUUUUUUUAUCAAAUAAUCUUUUGCAAUAAUCUUUUGAUUAGGAUUAUAAUAAAGAAAAAUUACUAUUAAAUAAUAAUUGCACCACACUGAGCCAUCCUACGAAAUCUACACCUAACAAUAAUUACACCACAAUGAGUCAAUCCUACGAAAUUUACACCUGACAGUACUCUUUUCACCAUGUUUAAGAUCUUCUGUAAGUUUAUCUUCUAAUAUUUUUUGCAUAAUACGCACCUUCUUGAGACUCGAAAGUCAAAUCUCAUAGUGUAAAAACAUCCACAAACUCUUAAUCAAACCUAUAGAUUAAGGAGACUCCCACUAAAAUAACAAAUUAUGUAAAUUUGUAAGGAAUGGAAAUAUGGCUAAGUGAUCAGAGUAAUGUGGUAUGGGUCUUUUAAAUGAAGUAUAAGUGAUGCCAAAUUAGAUGGCAAGUUAUACCAGUUUUUUUAUAACGGCUUUCAUAUUAUUUUUUUAAAUAUACAACAGCUGGAAAUUAAAAUAAAUAAAUAAAACAAAACACAACCAAGUUAAUCACUACCAACCGGGGCCAAAAGUCAAAACCCUAAAAAGCAGAGAAGGCAAAAGUAGUGACGGCCAUGGAACCCACCAGAACCUCCUCACUAGAAAGCGUCACGUCGACUGCGUUUUAGCUCCUAAGCCAGAGUACCGAAUCUGUACAAACCGGAAGAUGGAGCCACUUCGGAUAGAAAGGAACCCCGGAGAAAAAAGGACGCAUGACCACUAGACGCGACAUAGAGACACCAUCGGAAAAGCAAACUUGGAAAGAAAAGGAGAAAGCACGAAGAGGAUAAGGAGAACACCGGAAUCAGUUGGCUUUGCCGGUACGGAUCAUGAGCUUGAGGAGAUCUAGAUCCCCCCCCCCCCCCCCCCCCAAACCCCCUCGCCUCCAAAGCCCACCGUCACGAGCUCAGUCCACCGUCUUCGAAGCGAACCUGCAAGCUGAUAAAGGAGCCACUUAAGGUCCAGAUCUGGAGAAGUGUGCCACCUCAACGUCAAGCCCCCGCCCAAAAUAAUACUCGAACCACCACGCCUAUUCGUCAUAGAACACUUAACCACCUUGGAUCUACAGCAGAUAAUCAAGGAGAGCUUGGGGUCCACGCGCUAGAAAUGACCCCUCAGACAUGUAUCGUGAAGCUAGAGGCCCAAACAAACCUCCAGACCGCCGCGCAAACCACCACCGCCUUGCAAAAACCACCUUCCUCAAACGCCUUUGGGUAGUAACACUUGAAAUGAGACUCAGCUAAAGGAGGGGGGAAAGACACAGAAAGGGGGCCCUCUCACGACAGCCACCGAAGAGGCAAUGUGAGUUCGCCAGGAAAGCUCAGAGAGAGAGUGAGAGAGAGAGAGAUUAACAAGUCAGAGAGGAAGAAGUUAAACGAGAUCUCCAUUCUCUUUGCUUGGAUUGUACGACAUCAAGGAUGAUCCGAUCUCUCUUACCCUCGUGUCAGUGUCAGGGGAGCUUCAGAUCCUUCCUCUGCUUCGUCGUCUCUAUACUCUUCUCGUGCUCACUCCGAUUGUGCUCCUCUGAGAUAAUUUCUUGGGUUGAGAAUGCACAGUUGGAUUGAUCUCAGACCUUAGACCGUCGCAUCGCCGACAUGAAUCUCACUCAACAAGGCAUGUUCUCUUCCACUCUUGGCCGUCUCUGCACUUUGCACAUCAGAGUUUGCACUAUCCGACAAAGACCAAAACGAUCUACUCCCGAGAUAGGCCUCUUUUGUGUUCGGAUGGGAUUGGAAAGCUCAAUAAGCCUUACAUGCCCCAAUCUCAAAAUAUCUUGUACACAUUGCAAUAUUUCUCUUGCACGAACGGUGUCUUGUGUUCUCAGGUACCAGCGAUAGUAUUUAUUUAUAUAUUUAUUAGAAUCUUAAAUUUCAUA